rnacentral:rRNA from 1 species
UACGGGGGGGGCAAGCGUUGUUCGGAAUUACUGGGCGUAAAGGGCUCGUAGGUGGCCAACUAAGUCAGCCGUGAAAUCCCCAGGCUCAACUUGGGAACUGCGUCUGAUACUGGAUGGCUUGAAUUCGGGAGAGGGAUGCAGAAUUCCAGGUGUAGCGGUGAAAUGCGUAGAUAUCUGGAGGAAUACCGGUGGCGAAGGCGGCAUCCUGGACCGAGAUUGACACUGAUGAGCGAAAGCUAGGGGAGCAAACGGG